rnacentral:tRNA from 1 species
ACCUGGCUUGCUCAGUUGGUAGAGCGUGGGACUCUUGAUCUUAAGGUUGUGAGUUCAAGUUCCAUGUUGGGCA